UACGUAGGGGGGCAAGCGUUGUCCGGAAUUAUUGGGCGUAAAGAGCGCGUAGGCGGUCCGAUAAGUCGGCUGUGAAAGUCCAGGGCUCAACCCUGGAAAGCCGGCCGAUACUGUCGGACUAGAGUCCGGAAGAGGCAAGUGGAAUUCCCGGUGUAGCGGUGAAAUGCGCAGAUAUCAGGAAGAACACCAAUGGCGAAGGCAGCUCUCUGGGACGGUACUGACGCUGAGACGCGAAAGCGUGGGGAGCGAACAGG
rnacentral:rRNA from 1 species